UCGAAUGGGGAGAUUCAUCGUCGGUGGCGCUGGCUUCGCGGUGGUGGGCGAUGUCGGGGACUUCGGUUCUACGGCACGUCGCCGCUGUGUAUGUCCGGUGUCGUAGAUGUGCACUUCUCCCCUAGUAGGACGUUGCGACUCGCUGGGUGUCGGACUACGGCCCGGUUGGUAGACUGUCGCGUCGCUACGGCGUUCGCGACAGACCUCCGGUGUGUCUCUCCUGUCCGACGCUCGGCGGUAUUAUGAGAUAGUAUUCGGCCGCAAUCGUUUUAAACGCAUUGCGUCAUUGGUUCGUGGCAAGCGCGGUCAGUGUCCCGUGUGGUUCGGACUUUGUGCCGUCCCCGGGCCUGGCCAGCUGUUGGCUCACGAUUUAUCCUCUGACCGGCCAAUUUUACUUGAUUGCGACGCUUUUGCUUUGGGUACU
rnacentral:rRNA from 1 species